CAGGAAGCCGGGCUGGAGCCGCAGCGUGGCUGGGCGAGCCUGCCUUCUGCCAGUUUCGGCUGGCGGAGGGUCGGGCGAGCCCGGACUGGCGCGGGGUCCGCCCGGUGGACCGUCCCGGCUGCGCAGUCGAGCAAUCGGCUGCUUCGGCCGACGCCCAACAGCUGACUCAGAACUGG
rnacentral:rRNA from 1 species